GUGCUUGGGGUAGUAAACAGAUAUGGGCUCGAAACUUAAAGAAUUUGGCGGUACCUAAGUCUGGUUAGAGGAACCUGUGCUGUAAACGAUAAACCACGAAUAUCUUACUUUACGUUGAAAUUUCAGUACGUAUACCGCCAUUAUUAGAUAAUCUUUGAAGGGGUUUGUCGGAACAAAUUGAGAAUUUUGGAUAUUAGGUCAAGGUGCGGCUAAUAGUAAAGUUGACAUGGGUUACAUUGAGAUUAGUUGGUGCGGAUAGGUCUGGUAAUCGCAGAUUUAGUAAGGUGGAUUUAAUAGU
rnacentral:rRNA from 1 species